UUGAAUAUUUGCACUGCACCGGAGCCUUAUACAACUUUUUCUCGUCUUGGGAGAUAGGUCGAAAGCAGAGAC